ensembl:lncRNA
AAAUUAUUGCGUAAUCUCCAGCUGUGUGUAUUUUUCCAUUUGGUUCAGAGGAGAAACCAAACUGCCACGAAUGAUUUAUCAUCGAAUAGAUAUGUGAAAAACACCUUAAGGAUUGAUUCUAAACAAGCCAAACGUGAUGAACAAAACGGAGCGAUUUCUCCUACACAAAUAAUCUCUUUGGAAAAACUGAACAUUUGCUAUCUAACUGAGAGUCUCCUCAUUGAAAACAACCGAAGUUCUUCAAAGAAUAACCCACCUUAAAAGGACCAAGCAGCGUGAUUGGGAGGAACAACGCUUAAUGUAGAAAUGGACCCUGGAGAAGGACGAAUGGGUAACAACCUGGGAGGAGAUUGAGAGUUGGUCGAUCGAUCCAGGGAGAGUGCCUGCAUGGGAUUCUUUGGAACAGUGCGAGGAGGGAUACAGGAGAAUGGAGGAACGGCGAAGAUAUAAGGGUACAUGGCUAGCACAGAAGCCCGAGAGCCCGAAGUCAGGUAGGAGACCUGAGCCAACUCUCGUGCUUACCGUGGGGAGCAUGUAACUGGUCAGGCACCGUGUUAUGCAGAGAUGCGCAUGGUGUCUCCAGUGCGCAUUUCUAGCCCGGUGCGCUAUAUUCCAGCUCCUCGCAUUGGCCGGGCUAGCAUGAGCAUCCAGCCAGGACGGCUUGUGUCAGCUUUACACUCCAGACCUCCAGUACGCCUCCACAGCCCAGUACGUCCUGUGCCUGCUCCCCGCACUCGCGCUGAGGUGCGUGUCCCCAGCCCAGUACCACCAGUGCCAACACCACAUACCAGGCUUCCUGUGCGUCUCCAGAGCCCUGUACGCCCUGUUCCUCCUCCCCGCACUCGCCCCGAGGUGCGUGUCUCCAGCC